rnacentral:rRNA from 1 species
AAAGGAAUAGACGGGGACCCGCACAAGCGGUGGAGCGUGUUCUUUAAUUCGAAGGUAAGCGAUAAACCUUACCAGGCUUUGACAUCCCGAUAACCGUUCUUUGAAAGAAGAACUUCAUUUAGUUGGAUCGGUGACAGGUGAUGCAUGGCCGUCGUCAGCUCGUGUCGUGAGAUGUUAGGUUAAGUCCUUCAACGAGCGCAACCCUUGCAAAUAGUUGUAUUUUUCUAUUUGAACUGCCUCAGUAAUGGGGAGGAAGGAGGGGAUGAUGGCUGGUCAGUAUUUCCCUUAUAGCCUGGGCUAGAAACGCGCUACAAUGGCUGGUACAAUGCGCAGCGAAACCGCGAGGUGGAGCAAAUCGCAUCAAAACCAGUCCCAGUUCGGAUUGCAGGCUGAAACUCGCCUGCAUGAAGUCGGAAUCGCUAGUAAUCGCAGAUCAGCAUGCUGCGGUGAAUACGUUCCCGGGUCUUGUACACACCGCCCGU